rnacentral:rRNA from 1 species
UACGUAGGGGGCAAGCGUUGUCCGGAAUCAUUGGGCGUAAAGCGCGUGUAGGCGGCUCGGUAAGUCUGCUGUUAAAGUCCAGGGCUCAACCCUGGGAUGCCGGUGGAUACUGUCGAGCUCGAGUCCGGAAGAGGAGUGUGGAAUUCCUGGUGUAGCGGUGAAAUGCGCAGAUAUCAGGAGGAACACCAAUGGCGAAGGCAGCACUCUGGGACGUGACUGACGCUGAGACGCGAAAGCGUGGGGAGCAAACAGG